CAUCAUUGAAAAUUCAUUUAUUUUAUAUUCUCUCAUUCAGACGAUGAAAAACAAAAAGAGGAAACUUUUUUGUGCUUUUAUCGAUAUUGCUAAAGCUUUUGAUACCGUUUGGAGAAAUGGCCUGUGGCAAAAAUUACUAUUAAAUGAUAAAAAUUGUAAAAUGUAUAAUGUAAUUUUAAAUAUGUAUAGUAGUAUUAAAUCUCGUAUUUCAUUUAAUGGUGAUACUACCGAAUAAUUUCC
rnacentral:lncRNA from 1 species